rnacentral:lncRNA from 1 species
AAAAACCAAAAUUGAAAAACUAGGGGGGAGGGCAUCUUUUUCAGUAUCCCUGGAGUGGCAGUUUUUAAGAUGGAUGACUACCCAUAUCAACAGAAUGGCGAGGUACAGUCGACUCACUUUUUUCCUUUUUCAGUCUCUCACGUGUUCCCACAACAUUGCCACGACUUAGGCAGAGAAUCACUGAGAACCAUCGUUUUCAUUUUUAUUUCCCGUUUCUUCAAUCAAGGUGCAGCAAGAACCGACGCGGCGGCCAGGAACAAAGAUGUGGGUUUACAAGUCCGUAGGCGACCAAGAAAUAAGCAGGUUCAGUCUGGGCAAAGGCAUGGGACAACAAACGCAUAGGGAAAGUCACAAAAGCUGACAAAAAACCAGAGGGUGGAUACGGCAAGCUUCCCGUGAUCUUUUCUUCCUUUAUUUCAAGUAGUUUUUAGUAGACAGCAACAUCUUUGAUCAUACCAGCCUAAUUUACAUCUUGAUCAUACCAGCAUAAUUUUCUUACUUCAUUUGAUGUUGUUGUUUUUCCCCUGCGGCUUUAUUCACACUGCCAACCAGAUGAAGCCAAUAUACACGAGGAAAAGGGGAAUGGUCUUUUUGUUGGUUAUGAG